CUUUGCUGGCGACCGGCGCACGGGUGAGUAACACGUAUCCGAACCUGCCCUUUACUCGGGGAUAGCCUUUCGAAAGAAAGAUUAAUACCCGAUAGCAUAAUGAUUCCGCAUGGUUUCAUUAUUAAAGGAUUCCGGUAAAGGAUGGGGAUGCGUUCCAUUAGGUUGUUGGUGAGGUAACGGCUCACCAAGCCUUCGAUGGAUAGGGGUUCUGAGAGGAAGGUCCCCCACAUUGGAACUGAGACACGGUCCAAACUCCUACGGGAGGCAGCAUG
rnacentral:rRNA from 1 species